GCGAAGUUCACGGUAUUGUUGAAAAUGAACAGGAGAGCAGUGCGCGGACCAUUUUACCCUCGGUUUUUUGUGGUAUUGCCAUUUUGUUCUGAUUUUGCCCCUUUUCUCGGUUUCCUUUCUUCCAUACUUAUUCUCUUUCUCUCUCCUCCAUGAGCAGCGAACUUCGAGUUUUGCGUACUCUGAGCUUUCUUUCUCUUCUUGAUUUCUCAUUUUCCCUCUUCCUUCCCUUUCAUUUCUCAGACAACCACCAGGUAUGCAAUUGAAUCAGCUUCUCAGGUUUUAUGGAGGUGACGGUGGUCGUGGUAUCCAUUACGGCGCUUCGAUUUCUAGGAUUUCAGAUUAUAGCUAAGAAGAGAUUUAAGACUACCGCUCCUCUCCUCACUGCCACAUGCACGGCUAAAGGAGAAGCAGGAAUCAAAAUCAAAAUCAAACGAAAUUUAUAUUUUGGGGUAUAGAGGAUGCGAUUUCAGUUUUACCGAGAGCAAAUUGCCAAAGCUAUGCUGAAGAGGAGAGAGAAAGAGUAGAAGAACGGUGAAGAAGAAGAUGGUGAAUCCUUCAAUGGCGGAAAAGGAGGAGCUUCUUUGAUUAUUGAUUUGAAUGAUAAAUCGACGGUCACUGGUGGUGGUGUGGAAGAUGUUCAAGUCAAAGGGGUAUAGAGGAUGCGUUUUCAGUCUAUUGGGUGAAAAACUGAGAGCAAAUUGCCAAAGCUAUGCUGAAGAGGAGAGAGAAAGAGUUGAAGAACGGUGAAGAAGAAGAUGGUGAAUCCUUCAAUGGCGGAAAAGGAGGAGCUUCUUUGAUUAUUGAUUUGAAUGAUAAAUCGACGGUCACUGGUGGUGGCGUGGAAGAUGUUCAAGUCAAAGGCCAUGUAUCAUUUAUAAAGGAUGUUGCUUGCACUCAACCCCCUGAGCAUCUUCAUGAGCUGCUAAAUGUGCUACAAACUACAUACUCAACCAUCAUCUUUGAGGGAUCAGGAUUUCUAUGGUAUGGCGUGUGGUAAAUUAGGAAAGUAUUGUUUUUAACAUCAUAAGUGAAAUAAAAUAAUCAGUACUUUACUCAUUGAUGUUAUGCAGUAAACUAAUUUAAGGGGAACUGGGGGAGGGGCUCUUUUGGCAUUAUCUUUAUAUGUUAGUUAUGAGUAGCUUGGGAUAUGGGAAAUAAAUCAGAGAUAAUUAGGGAAGAAAUUCUAUGUAUAGAGAAGAUUAUGGAGAGGGAAAGGAUGUUACUUGAUGAUAAUUUUUUUUAGCAUUUAUGUUGCUUAUUGGGAGAGAAUGAAGCCUCUUGAUAGCUUGAAUAUCCUUCAUUUUGCUGCAAUUCCAGUUUAUUAAUCAAAUUGCCUUUUUUAUUUAACUUAUUUUUUGCCAUUAUUGAUGUUGAAACUAUUUAAUUCAUACCAUGUUGUACAUGAGUAGCUAUUUUUAUGAAUCUCUGUUUAGUAAACUGCCUUGUGGCUCUGAGUUAUAUUUUUAACGGUCUUGCCAUUGUAUUUUGAUUUUCAUUGCUUUCCAGCUUCUUUGUCCUUUUUCCCCUUUUCUUUUUCCCUAAAAUCAGAUGCUAUUACUCAGUCUACCCUUCUUCUUUUCUCUCUCUUCGUACAGCUGGGCGUAUCUGCUGUGAAGGAAGAGAAUGUUUGCUCGGAGUAGUAGCAACAAUAGUUUGUCGCUCAAAGACCCUGAUGUAAUUUAAAUUCCGCGUCCUUCUACUUGGAAAUCGAAGCCAAGGAAGCAAAAUUCGGCCACAUGCAUGUAAGAUAGAAAAUUUUGGCACUUCUGGAUUCAUGGUAAGAAGCAUUUGGUGGUCCCGGUGGAAAUUAUGGUCUUGUGAUGAACUGAUGGUAAGCUCAUUCAGCUUAUGUUUUUGAGUGCUUGGGCACCCGUAGAUAUUAUUAACUCCCAUUUAGGUAGUUGUGGGACUCCCAUGUCAGAACUGUGUCGUAGUCCUAAAUGAGUACUACAUGGAAAGCGUGUUGAAUGUGAGCUUUCUGAUAUCUGUGAUUAUAUUCUGAAGUUUCUUAAUUCUCAUCUUACUCCUACUGUUUCUGUUAGUGAAUCAAGAGUCUUCUACUUGAAGAUGAAGGGAGACUAUAUCAUUGUUAUAUGGCUGUCUUUAAAUCUGGUGAUGAAGGAAACUGUUGUAGAAGAUACUAUGAAUGCUUACAAAGUAGCUCAGAUAUUCUUUAUUUGGUCAGGAGGCAGAAAGUUCUAGCAUUAAAGAUGAAGGCAAUGCAACAAGAAAGGCUAGAAAAAUUCUUAGUGACCUUCAAAGACUGUCUUCAACCAUAUGUAGAUGGUCGCAUUGAUGAGUUUGUGGAUUGGGCUAAAUUAGAAGCAUCUAAUCUCUCAAAAGCAGGUUCAGUGAUAGCAUUGUUUGUGGUGUUGCUGUUAGAGCUUUGUCUGUUGUGUUGAGCUUAGAAGACCUGUUAAGGUCAGACCAGUGGCCUGGCUUUCUUUGGUGCUAUAUCCUGUUGGAAGAGUUGUUACUUUCUUAUCGAUGGGCAUACUGAAAAUGCUGGGAUUAAAAGGAAGAAGUGCAGCUCGAAAAAAAACUCCGUUUCACAGCAUCACCAUCUCAGGAAAAUGAAGAUCAUGAAUCCGCCAACAAGGACCCAACUAAUUUAGCAACAUCUGCUUCUGAUAAAUCAGCUACACCAGAAAAUGAUGUUAACACAUCUGUACAUGUGAAUGAUCAUAUGACACAGGCCUCACUUGACUCUCUUACUCAAGAUCUCUCCGUCGCUUCUCAGAUUUCUCCUCGCUUCUCAGAUCCCUUUUCUCUCCGUCGUCCGUCACUCCUCCACCAGCCGCGACUCCCCUCACCCCUCCACCUGCGUGAAUUUGCGAAUUGCGAAGACAAUCGUUCAAUCGGCUAAAGGUGUUUCUUUUUAACCUUAAAGAUGGAUGAUGCUACUGUAGAAUCUGCUAACCUAGCAAAUCCAUCAAGUGAGGAGCCCUUGGCAUCAACUGCUGCUGCUAAGGAGCAUGCUGGAAUUGAAAAUCCGCCACAACCACCCGCUACAAAAAAAAAGGCCUUCAAAGGCGACUAGUGAUGGAGCUGAAAAAAAAAGGUAAGAAGAAAAGAUCUUGGCUUUGGGAUCAUUUUGAGUUAAUAGUAAUAGAUGGGGAUAAAAGAUCAAAAUGUGUGUAUUGUAAAGUUGAUGUUUGUGGUGACUCUAAAAUGGGUACAAGUGCUAUGAAAAAUCAUUUAGAAAGGUGUAAGGAAUACCCCCCUAAUGUUAGACAAAUCCCAAAGGCUUCUUGCUUUUCAAAAUGAGCAAAGUCAGCAAACAUUAGGAGAUGGUAGUGUAGGUGAUAAUGCAAGUGGGGAAAAAAAGGGUAAAUUAGAAUUUUGGAAGUUUAGGCAGGAGGAGGGUCGGAAAGCUUUUGCUAAAAUGAUAAUAAUGGAUGAAUUGCCUUUUAGGUUUUCUGAUCGUGAGGGUUUUCGCUACUUUAUGUCUGUUGUUCAGCCUAAUUUCAUUAUCCCCUCUCGUUUUACAGUAGCUAGAGAUUGCUAUCGUGUGUACUUAGAUGAAAAAAAAAAUCUGAAAAAUUAUUUUAGCAAGUUUUGUUCUCGUAUUUCUCUCACUACUGACACAUGGACCUCUUGCCAAAAUCUAUCAUACAUGUGUUUGACAGCCCAUUUUAUUGAUCACAACUGGAACAUGCAUAAAAAAAUUUUAAAUUUUUGUCCAAUUAGUGGCCAUUCAGGUGAGGCUAUUGGUAAAGCGGUAGAAAAAUGUUUGCUUGAGUGGGGUAUCACUAAGGUAAUGACCAUUACCGUUGACAAUGCUAGCUCAAAUGAUGUAGGGGUCCAGUAUUUGAGGAAGAGGUUACUAAGAUGGAAAAAUGGAACUGUUUUAGAGGGUAAAUUUGUGCAUAUGCGGUGUGCAGCUCACAUUCUUAAUUUGACAGUAAGAGAAGGUUUGAAAGAAUGUGAUGAAUCAAUAAAAAGAAUUCGUAAUGCUGUACGAUUUGUUAGAUCUUCCCCUGCCACAUUACAAAAGUUUAGAAAUUGUGUAAAUCAAGAACAAAUUGAAUCUAAACGUCAGCUUUGCUUGGAUGUUGAAACUAGGUGGAAUUCCACUUAUUUGAUGUUGGAGUAUGCUUUGAUUUUUCGUUAGGCUUUUGAUUUGCUUGAAAAUUCUGAUGGUGGUAAAUUUUUUUCUGAGUUAACAAAGAUGUCGGGUGUUCCUACUGAUAUGGAUUGGGAUCGUGUUGCUUCUUUUAUUCCCUUUCUUAAGAUUUUUUAUGAUGCUACUAUGAGACUCUCAGGAUCUUUGUAUGGUACUACUAAUGUGUAUUUGUUAGAACUUGUGACAAUUGGCAAGAUGAUUAAAAAAAAGUGUGAAAGUGUUGAUAUUAGGGAAAGGUCAAUGGCCAAUGGGAUGAAGAAAAAGCAUGACAAAUAUUGGGAAAAUGUAGAUAACAUUAACUUGAUGUUGUAUGUUGCUGUUGUGCUUGACCCUAGGCGUAAAAUGCAUUAUGUUAAGUGGGCGAUUAAUGAUCAAUAUGAUUCUGCAAAGGCCACACAGUUGUAUGAUAUGGUGAUGGGAACUUUGACUUCUUUGUAUGAACAUUAUGCUGCUUUACAAUCUCAAAAUGUGUCUAAGUGUUUCUGAUAAUAUUGAUUUGACUUCAAAAGACUUGGAAAACUAUAAUGAUUGGCAUGUUGCUGAUUAUGAGUUUGAGAGGGAUAUUGGUGGACAAACAGUUUUUGACAAAAAAAGUGAUUUGGACAAGUAUUUGAUGGAUGAUAGAGAGCCUAAUAUUAUCGGUAAGAGUUUUGAUGCUUUGGGAUGGUGGAAAAAAGCGGUGGAGAGAUAUCCAAUAGUUGGUCUUAUGGCUAGGGAUGUGUUAGCCAUUCCGGUUUCCACGGUUGCAUCCGAAUCUGCAUUUAGCGUAGGUGGAAGAGUACUUGAUCCAUUUCGUAGUUCACUUUCUUCACAUAUGGUUGAGGCUUUAAUAUGUGCACAAGAUUGGAUGCGCAAUACACGUGGUCCACUUAUAAUUGAAGAAAGUAUCGAUGACAUUCAACAAAUUGAAGAGGGUAUUACUUUUUCCGCUUUUUUUUUUUGUGAUGAAUAUUUUUUAGUAGACAUGAUUUAUAAGUACUUAUGUUCUGAGGCAAGGUUAUAUGCAAGGAUUUUUAUAGACCACACUGCAUACUGCUAUCGUGUGAUCUGCAUACUGCUAUCAUGUGAUCUGCAUACUGCAUACUGCAUACAAGUUUGAUCUGCAUGCUACAUGCUGCAUACUGCAUACAAGUUUGAUCUGCAUGCUACAUACUGCAUACUGCAUACUGCAUACUGCAUACAAGUUUGAUCUGCAUACUGCAUACAAGUUUGAUCAGCAUACUACUAUCAUGUGAUCUGCAUACUGUCCCUUUGUUUUGGGUUUAGGGUGUUUGGGGUUGGGUCAUCAUUAUCCUUAAUGAGUAAGCCUCUAUGGUCUGUUGUCUGUUACCUGACUACCUGGGCAAUUAGUUUUGUGAAAGAACGAAUGCUAAAUGCUUAAAUGCUUUCCCUGAGCUUCAUGUAUUUCGAUCAUUUAAUCUGGUAAUUUGUUGGAUGUCAUGGUUAAUAGAGGUUAUCACUUGUUUCAAUAUGUAUAUUAGCCUUAAAAUUUUGGUGACUGGCCUUUUGGGCAAUGUUUUGAAAGUCAGUGCUUCAGUGUAUGCUUCUUAUGUUGUUUAUUUAUGCCCAAGGAACAAUGUGAUCAUUUUUGCAAGAUGCCACCCCCUCAGCUCCUCUCCCCCUAUGUGGCUAGCUGUAUUUUUGGUACACGUUUCCAAUUUACUAAUUCGGUUCCCGUCGUUGAUGAUUAUUUUUAGCAUUAGAAGGGUUGUUGACUUGCCGUACACUCGUACUUUGUUGAUAUUGGUUUUCGGCGUUGAUGACUUAUUUAGUGUUUGAUAAAAUGUUUCCGCACUGUUAACAUUUGGACACUAAUGUUUUUGGACUUCAAAUUUUAUUAUGUAAUUUGUACUUUGUUGCAAUUAGCCAACUAGUUGUUAUCAUGUAAUUUUAUUAUGUAAUUUUAUUAUGUAUAAUUUUAUUAUGUAAUAUCUGAAAAUUAGUUGUUGGAGAAUAAUUUUAGGUCUAUUUAUCUCUCUUUGUUCAGGUUAUGAAUUAAUUGUCCACAUAGUAAAAAAGGGUCCAUAAGACAAUAACGUGUGAAAAUAAAGGGUGAAAAAAUCAAUUUUUCCGUUAAUAAAAACCUGCAAUUAAAGAAAUCGGAUAUAGGAUAUCUGACAUAUCCGAUCCGAAAAUUUCGGAUAUCCGGAUUUUCGGAUAUCCGAAAUUUUCGGAUCGGAUACGGAUAUCAAAUCUCCGGAUUUUCGGAUACGGAUAUCCGAUCCGAAAUCUAGUUUCGGAUACGGAUAUCCGAUCCGAAAUCUAGUUUCGGAUCGGAUAUUCGAUCCGUGCUCAACCCUAAUUGCUCCAACAUUGCGUUUAAAUACCUUUAGAUGAAGGUAGAGUAUUUAAUGUAAAUAGGAUUGCAAUGCUGUUGAGUGAAAACUUUUGAAGACUUUUGUAAGAACAUGUACAAUAGUUAAUGUUCUUAGAAAACACUAUAAAAAGGUCGAAUGUUCAAAAAAAAAAAGCACUGAUGUAAAGUUUAUUUAUAGAUUACCAUGUAUAAAAUAUUUAAAUUAUGGUAAAUUAGAAUUGUUCCGUUUUUUACUGACUUAAUUACAAUUUUCCCUUUUACAAAAAAAAAAAAAAAAAAAAAAAAACUACAAAUUUGUUUAUGAUUAUAUUUGUACCAUAAAACAGAAUAUAAGAGAAGUAAAUUGGAUACUCGUCUACAUCCAAAUGUUUACAAAGUGAGUGUUUCGGGGUAUACACUUUUCAAUCAAAUUAGAGAAGACAACUUCAAAAUCUUCUGCUGUUAUUUUUUCCUUCAGCUUCAUCGGUAGUUUACAAUGGUCUAUUAUUAAUUAUUCAACUCUAUUAUGAGACCUUUAAAUCUAUGAAUACCCCUAAACCCCAGAAGAAGAGUUUCAAGAUCAACUAAUGUAAAGUACACAGUUGUGUACAAGAAUAUUAUAAUAUAAUAUAAUUAAUUUAUAAAUAAUUACUUCUUAAAUUAACUAUAUGAUCUCCUCCAUACUUUAGAGAUACCAUUUUACCUCUCCCAUUAACUAUUCCAACUUUAUAAAAAAACGUUGCAAAUUCGACAACUAAUAGCUUAGUAACAAACAAGUACAGUCACCCAAACUACCUAAGAGGCAAUUUAAAAGAAUAUGUAGAAAA